GCGCAGUGAUGAUUAAUCAUACACACACUCGGAGUGUUCGUGACGAGAUGUUUUAGAACGGAUAUCUGAGCGC
rnacentral:snoRNA from 1 species